rnacentral:lncRNA from 1 species
CAAAUCUUCAUUUUUCUGCUCUUUUCUUGAGUCAAUGACCUGUAUCUUUAACUCCAUUCUUUACUUUCUCAAAUUAGCUACAAAACAAUGCAAAACAAGCAUAAAAUCGCUAAAAACAACUUUUGACUCUCUCCAGACUCAUUUAUUGAGUUUUGCUUGAUUCUAGGCUCAUUCCAANUAGUAAAGAGUGUAAUUUGGUCCAAAUUGACAUAUGAAAAUAACUGUUUUUCAACCUUCAUCAACACCCCAAACUUAGAAUUUUGCUUGUCCUCAAGCAAAACAAAACAAAACAACAC